GCAGCAAGUUAGGGAAUCUUCCACAAUGGACGAAAGUCUGAUGGAGCAACGCCGCGUGAGUGAUGAAGGUUUUCGGAUCGUAAAACUCUGUUGUUAAAGAAGAACAAGUGUUAGAGUAACUGUUAACACUUUGACGGUAUUUAACCAGAAAGCCACGGCUAACUACGUGCCAGCAGCCGCGGUAAUACGUAGGUGGCAAGCGUUGUCCGGAUUUAUUGGGCGUAAAGCGAGCGCAGGCGGUUUUGUAAGUCUGCUGUGAAAGCCCUCAGCUCAACUGAGGAAGUGCAGUGGAAACUACAAAACUUGAGUACAGAAGAGGAAAGUGGAACUCCAUGUGUAGCGGUGAAAUGCGUAGAUAUAUGGAAGAACACCAGUGGCGAAGGCGGCUUUCUGGUCUGUUACUGACGCUGAGGCUCGAAAGCAUGGGUAGCGAACAGGAUUAGAUACCCUGGUAGUCCAUGCCGUAAACGAUGAAUACUAGGUGUUGGAGGGUUUCCGCCCUUCAGUGCCGCAGCUAACGCAUUAAGUAUUCCGCCUGGGGAGUACGACCGCAAGGUUGAAACUCAAAGGAAUUGACGGGGGCCCGCACAAGUGGUGGAGCAUGUGGUUUAAUUCGAUGCUACGCGAAGAACCUUACCAGCUCUUGACAUCUUCUGCCAACCCAAGAGAUUGGGCGUUCCCUUCGGGGACAGAAUGACAGGUGGUGCAUGGUUGUCCGUCAGGCUUCGGUUCUUC
rnacentral:rRNA from 2 species